rnacentral:rRNA from 1 species
AUGGCGUCCCUCGUCCCCCGGCUCCUUGGCCGCCGGACUCUGCAACCCGCCGUUGCUCUACGCUCUCCACGCGAUCCUUGGAUGCGUUUCCACGGCGCAAAUCCCCCACGCCCCUGCCCGCUGUUCCGGCCUUCCCCGGGGGUUGAUGGAUGCGCGAGAGCUGCGCGGAGAUGGUGGUUUCUCUCGCCGGUAAGGCACGGGAGCACGGCGGUGACGCUGAACACGGACGGCGGCUUUGCGCGGUUCUCCGUCGGAGAUCCGGGCCCGAAUCAGAAUGGGGGGCAGAAUCAGCCGCCGGCGAAGAAGAAGAUGUCCAAGAAGUCCAAGGUCAACCAGCUCAAGUGGUAUCGCCUCAAGGCCAAAAAGAAGAUGAAGUCGCCCAACCCCGAAGUCAGGAUAAGAUACAAGCUCGGAAAGGCCAAGAGGAAAGAAGAAUGGCUGAUUGAGAAACUCAGGAAGUACGAGGCCCCGAGGGCUCCGGAGCCGGUUCACGACCCUGAGAUUCUGACCGAGGAGGAGAAGUUCUAUCUGAAACGGACUGGGGAGAAGAAAAAGAACUAUGUUCCUGUUGGGAGGAGAGGGGUGUUUGGUGGUGUGGUUCUCAACAUGCACCUCCACUGGAAGAAGCAUGAGACUAUGCAAGUAGUCUGCAAGCCCUGUCGACCUGGGCAAGUGUAUGAGUACGCAGAGGAGCUGGCGAGGCUCAGCAAAGGGACAGUUAUUGAUAUUAAACCUAAUAAUACCAUUAUCUUUUAUCGUGGAAAGAAUUAUGUGCAGCCAAAGGUUAUGUCACCUCCUGAUACUCUUUCUAAGCAGAAGGCCUUGGAGAAAUAUAGGUAUGAACAGUCUCUGGAACAUACCAGUAAAUUUGUUGAGCAGCUGGAACAGGAGCUUGAAGAUUACCAGAAGCAUGUUGCUUUAUUUAAGAAGCGCGAAGGGGCUAUUUCUGAGCAAAUCAGCAAUGAAGACUCUGCUGUGGAUGACCUCACAACUAACUCAGAUACCGAUUGA